rnacentral:rRNA from 1 species
UACGGAGGGUGCGAGCGUUGUCCGGAAUCAUUGGGCGUAAAGGGCGCGUAGGCGGCAUGCCAAGCGUGUGGUGAAAGCCCGGGGCUCAACCCCGGGUCGGCCGUGCGGACUGGCGUGCUCGAGCACUGUAGGGGCGGGUGGAAUUCCGGGUGUAGCGGUGGAAUGCGUAGAGAUCCGGAAGAACACCGGUGGCGAAGGCGGCCCGCUGGGCAGGAAGGCUCGCAAGAGCCGGCUGACGCUGAGGCGCGACAGCGUGGGGAGCAAACAGG